AGAAAAGAAAUGGUUUGAAAGAAAGAUAGGUUUGGAAAUGAAAGGGCUGGGAGAAAAAAAGAAGAAGGGCUAGGUUGAAAGGAGGGUUUACAACGUUCUUUGUUCCUUCGUUUGAAAGAAGAAAGAAGCGACAAUUGUAAGUGGGAUUCCUCUCUUCUUCAUUUC